UGACUGGGGAAAGAAUUCUUUCUGGGGAUCCCUCUCUUUGGAGUUUUCUACGUGAGCCCAGGAUGUGGAUGUGUGUAUGUGACAGUGAGGGUGGCCAACUCCACAAUUUCUGAAGUGACUCACAGUGGGCGCAGUUGGAACUUCUUUCCACUUCUUCCUCAACUGUGCCUGCUGCCCAGCCGUGCAUCUCAGAAGAAGAGCUCCUCGAAUUUCGCUCUCCUUCCUUCCAGCAGCUGGAGGGAAUGGGACAAAGAAGGUCAGACCUCAUCCUUGCUUCAAACCCCAGAAAUCUAAGAAAUGUAAGUGUCUCGACAGGGUUUAAGAGCUAUGUAUAGUAUAGGCUUCUCUGUUUUCUUACAAAGCUACUUGAUGUACCACUAAUUCCAUGUGAAGAUGUGAACAUGGCAGAGGGGAAAAGCAGCAUCAAGUCCUAAAGGGGAAAUUUCAGUCCAUACCACUCUAGCUACCUGCCUCCUCUCCUGCCUGGCUUGUGGUCAGCCAUGGUUAGCUCUAAAUCUCUCAUCUAUGAUCACUUGUAAUAGCCCCAGUUUUACACUUUUAGUUGUAUGAUAGCACUCCAUGUCCCUUUUGCUGCUGGCUUUUACUCCAGUCACCAGGAGCCACCCUUGUGGCAUUGAGGCCCAGUAAUGUUCCUGUUGUUGUGGUGUCUUCCUCUCACUGUUGAGCUGAGGCAGGCCUGCAUCCCAUGGGAGGUUUUAAACUAAAAGAGGGGAGAUUAAGACUGGGGAAAUUUCUCACUGUGAGGGCAGCGAGGCCCUGGCACUGUCUGCCCAGUGAAGUUGUCAUGCCCCAUCCCUGGAGUUCAAGGCCUAGUUGGAUGGGCCCUGGGCAGCUAGGGUGGUGAGUGGUAUCCCUGCCCAUGGCAUGGGGUUGGGGCUGGGUGGGCUUUGUGGUCCCUUUGAAUGCAAGCUGCUCUGUUAUGAUUUGUGCUGUGGAUAGGGGCAUUCAGUGGGUUGGGAAAAGAGAACUGCUUCUGUGUGAGUGCAAAACUUUAGCUGGUAAACAUUGUGCACAAUGGACAUGAAACUUUAGUGACAAUACUGCAGUUUGUUCUGAGUACCUGCUUUUUAGGAGUAACCAAGUCCUUCAGAAUAAGGCAAAGGGCCACACUUAAAGGCGGAGAAAACGUGUUGCUCCGAUAUCGAAUUUUGACAAAAAUCGAGGCAUGGCUUUAAACCAGAGAUUGAUCCGUGUGGAAAAGGACCUCGUAGAACAGACCUCGGCCGGUAGGAACCACAGGAGAGAUCCUUCCCC